AACGAACGCUGGCGGCAUGCCUAACACAUGCAAGUCGAACGAGACCUUCGGGUCUAGUGGCGCACGGGUGCGUAACGCGUGGGAACCUGCCCUUAGGUUCGGAAUAACUCCCCGAAAGGGGUGCUAAUACCGGAUAAUGUCUUCGGACCAAAGAUUUAUCGCCUUUGGAUGGGCCCGCGUUGGAUUAGCUAGUUGGUAGGGUAAAAGCCUACCAAGGCGACGAUCCAUAGCUGGUCUGAGAGGUUGAUCAGCCACACUGGGACUGAGACACGGCCCAGACUCCUACGGGAGGCAGCAGUGGGGAAUAUUGGACAAUGGGCGAAAGCCUGAUCCAGCAAUGCCGCGUGAGUGAUGAAGGCCUUAGGGUUGUAAAGCUCUUUUACCCGGGAUGAUAAUGACAGUACCGGGAGAAUAAGCUCCGGCUAACUCCGUG
rnacentral:rRNA from 1 species